UACAGAGGUCUCAAGCGUUGUUCGGAUUCAUUGGGCGUAAAGGGCGCGUAGGCGGUCGUGACAAGUCACUUGUGAAAUCUCCGGGCUUAACUCGGAACGGUCAAGUGAUACUGUCGGACUAGAGUACAGAAGGGGCAACUGGAAUUCUCGGUGUAGCGGUGAAAUGCGUAGAUAUCGAGAGGAACACCUGCGGCGAAGGCGGGUUGCUGGGCUGAUACUGACGCUGAGGCGCGAAAGCUAGGGGAGCGAACGGG
rnacentral:rRNA from 1 species